rnacentral:lncRNA from 1 species
CACCCCUUUCUAUGUUCUGGACAACAGAUCUUAUUGGGGAGGAGCUAGUGACAUGCUUGGUGGCGAUGAACCCGAGGAUCUUACCAUUCAUUCUUGAAGGACAAAUUAUGCUUCUUUCAUCCCCCAGCUACUAGGGCCCGUGCCUUUUGAUGCUGACACCAUAACUUAGGUGUUUCUCCUGACUUAAUUUGUUGAGUCUUUUAUUUUUCUUUAUUCUGCUUAUUUAUCCAACUGCUUUGUCUUUAGUUUAUCCGUCGUACCCUUGCUGCUUCUAAGCUGACAAAGGGGCGGUCUUCC